UUUGACCUUUAUUUAACUAGGCAAGUCAGUUAAGAACAAAUUUUUAUUUUCAAUGUCUUUUAUUUAGACAGGGAGUCAAUGCUGAGACCAAGGUGUCUUUAUUUAGACAGGGAGUCAAUGCUGAGACCACGGUGUCUUUAUUUAGACAGGGAGUCAAUGCUGAGACCAGGGAGUCAAUGCUGAGACCAAGGUGUCUUUAUUUAGACAGGGAGUCAAUGCUGAGACCAGGGAGUCAAUGCUGAGACCACGGUGUCUUUAUUUAGACAGGGAGUCAAUGCUGAGACCAGGGAGUCAAUGCUGAGACCAAGGUGUCUUUAUUUAGACAGGGAGUCAAUGCUGAGACCAAGGUGUCUUUAUUUAGACAGUGAGUCAAUGCUGAGACCAAGGUGUCUUUAUUUAGACAGUGAGUCAAUGCUGAGACCAAGGUGUCUUUAUUUAGACAGUGAGUCAAUGCUGAGACCAAGGUGUCUUUAUUUAGACAGGGAGUCAAUGCUGAGACCAAGGUGUCUUUAUUUAGACAGGGAGUCAAUGCUGAGACCAGGGAGUCCAUGCUGAGACCACGGUGUCUUUUAUUUAGACACUGAGAAUCUGAGAUCAAUAAAAACGACCUUGUCUUGAUUCCAUCAAUAGCCAAGGCCCAGGGUGUGUGGAGGAGACAUAUUGUACAAUAUAUGAGGAGAAAUUAUAGUCCUAAAGAAGCGUUCCCGUUUCACUGACUCAACCACUGAUAUGCAUCUCGCCUCACUGACUGGCGAUGGUCAAUGCCCUCCUGCCAAAAGCCUGUCUCUUGUUUUACUUAGUGAAACAAUGCUGUUCCCUCAAUAGGCCCAUUUGGAAGUUGAUGACAUGGCAGCCUGCCGUCAAACUAGGCUUUUCUUUUCAGCAGGAACCAUUCAAUAGGCCCAUAGUGGUUGGAGUGUAGGGGCAGCAGGUAGCCUAGUGGUUGGAGUGUAGGGGCAGCAGGUAGCCUAGUGGUUGGAGUGUAGAGGCAGCAGGUAGCCUAGUGGUUGGAGUGUAGGGGCAGCAGGUAGCCUAGUGGUUGGAGUGUAGAGGCAGCAGGUAGCCUAGUGGUUGGAGUGUAGGGGCAGCAGGUAGCCUAGUGGUUGGAGUGUAGGGGCAGCAGGUAGCCUAGUGGUUGGAGUGUAGGGGCAGCAGGUAGCCUAGUGGUUGGAGUGUAGGGGCAGCAGGUAGCCUAGUGGUUGGAGUGUAGGGGCAGCAGGUAGCCUAGUGGUUGGAGUGUAGGGGCAGCAGGUAGCCUAGUGGUUAGAGUGUAGAGGAGGCAGGUAGCCUAGUGGUUAGAGUGUAGAGGCGGCAGGUAGCCUAGUGGUUAGAGUGUAGAGGCGGCAGGUAGCCUAGUGGUUAGAGUGUAGAGGCGGCAGGUAGCCUAGUGGUUAGAGUGUAGAGGCGGCAGGUAGCCUAGUGGUUGGAGUGUAGGGGCAGCAUGUAGCUUAGUGGUUGGAGUGUAGAGGCGGCAGGUAGCCUAGUGGUUGGAGUGUAGAGGAGGCAGGUAGCCUAGUGGUUGGAGUGUAGAGGCAGCAGGUAGCCUAGUGGUUAGAGUGUAGGGGCAGCAGGUAGCCUAGUGGUUGGAGUGUAGAGGCAGCAGGUAGCCUAGUGGUUGGAGUGUAGGGGCAGCAGGUAGCCUAGUGGUUGGAGUGUAGAGGCAGCAGGUAGCCUAGUGGUUGGAGUGUAGGGGCAGCAGGUAGCCUAGUGGUUAGAGUGUAGGGGCAGCAGGUAGCCUAGUGGUUGGAGUGUAGGGGCAGCAGGUAGCCUAGUGGUUAGAGCGUUGGGCCAGUAACCAGCAGGAAGCCUAGUGGAUAGAGCGUUGGGCCAGUAACCAGCAGGUAGCCUAGUGGUUAGAGCGUUGGACUAGUAACCAGCAGGUAGCCUAGUGGUUAGAGCGUUGGGCCAGUAACCAGCAGGUAGCCUAGUGGUUAGAGCGUUGGACUAGUAACCAGCAGGUAGCCUAGUGGUUAGAGCGUUGGGCCAGUAACCAGCAGGUAGCCUAGUGGUUAGAGCGUUGGGCCAGUAACCAGCAGGUAGCCUAGUGGUUAGAGCGUUGGACUAGUAACCAGCAGGUAGCCUAGUGGUUAGAGCGUUGGGCCAGUAUCCGAAGGUUGCAAGAUCAAAUCCCAGAGCUGACGAGGUAAAAAUCUGUCCUCCUGCCCCUGAACAAGGCAGUUAACCCACUGUUCCUAGACCAGUUAACCCACUGUUCCUAGACCAGUUAACCCACUGUUCCUAGACCAGUUAACCCACUGUUCCUAGACCAGUUAACCCACUGUUCCUAAACCAGUUAACCCACUGUUACUAGACCAGUUAACCCACUGUUCCUAAACCAGUUAACCCACUGUUCCUAGACCAGUUAACCCACUGUUCCUAGACCAGUUAACCCACUGUUCCUAGACCAGUUAACCCACUGUUACUAGACCA